GUUGGCCGGGGGGAUUCCUUGAACCCUGAAUGUCCAUUAGCCCACUGAAGUGUGAGCAGAUUGGUUUAAACGAACAGUUCCUAGAAGAAAAGACAAACUUUCCAAUUAUAUCUGACAGAGCUCACAAAAAAAACCCAUUCCAGACGUUGGAGCAUCUCACCUACUGGAUCUCCCUCUUGGAGUUAAGCUGCCUAUUGUACCAGGAACCAAUACUGUAUUCUACACUACAAAUAUAAGUGAAAAGAAAAUUAUUGAAAAACAACUAAGUAAAUUGUAUGAAAUCAAGAGAGCCUAUGAAAGUUAUGAUGCUGCCCAAUUCCAAGAAUGGCUAAUAUAGGAAGGUAUGCAAACAGCUCCGGACCAAGAGCUGUUUAUAAGACAAAGAUAUUUAGAAAUGAUUAAUUAGACAACGUUGAACACACAGCAGAAAAAUGGAGCAUACUCCGGCUGAAGGAAGAAGAAAGACGACACCAGGACCACAUGAGAAGAAAACUUAAUCUCUGUAGAGAAAUUGAAGAGGAAUGGAAAACAAAAGAAGUGUUACUUCUGAUAAAGAUUGGAGAAGUAAAAAGAGAAGCAAGAGUUGAAGAACAACGUCGGAAAGUUGGAAAAUCAGAGAAGAAAUUGACUGGAAGGUCAUUUUACCAAUGACUUGGGCUGUUUGAGGAAACGCUUUUGCCAUUUUUUAUAUUUUAAAGUGUGAAUUUUCAGAAAUGGCCUAAACUCACGAGGAUAGCUAUUCAUUGAGAGACCCAGUCUGGCGUCAACCUGUACUUUAAGAGCCGGUCUGAAAUGAAAUCAGUCUCUAGGAAGUGGGCAGGGAGUUAAAUUGGAUCUAGUUAUUAAAAUAUAUUCUUCUUUUUGCUGGACCCCCAAAGGAAACUUACCCCAUACUACCUUCCUAGCUUUGUACUCAUUGUGACUUUAGAAAUCUCAAGACAGAAAUGAAGGUUCACUUCAAAU